GGUACAGUUUGAGGUGGCGGAUCAGUGUCGGAAUAGGAUAAAGUUGGUUGAUGUCGUUCAUACACAAAUCCAGGUUUGAACCUCUUAAAAGAAGAUGAUAAAUCCUCAAGAGUAGGAAGAAGAGGAGAAGCAGAAGAUGAAUCUACAAUCGUAGGAAAGAAAUACUGAUUCUCAAAGAAAAUAACAUUUCUAGAAAUACGAAAUUUGUGAGAACAUGGAUCAUAGCAAAUAAAACCUUUUUGUGAAGUACUAUAACCCUUAAAAGCACAUUUAGUAGACUUUACAAAAAGUUUAUUGCGCUGCGAAGGAGCCAAAUGCACAAAACAAACACAACCAAAUGUAUGAAAAUCACUAUAGUUAGGAUUUUGGUGAUAAAGACGAAAAUAUGGAGACUCGAGAUUUAGCAUUUUAGAUGGCAAUCUAUUAAUUAAAUAGACAGUAGAAGACAAAGCUUCCACCCAAUAUUUAGAUGGUACAGAGGACUAAAUCAAUAAAGUACGAGUGACAUCUAAAAGAUGGUGAUUUUUUCGUUCAGCAACUCCAUUUUGUUGUGGUGUAUAUGGGCAAGAGUGUUGUGAGACAAUUCCUUUGUCAAGCAAGAAUUUUUUGAAUUCAUAAGACAUAUAUUCUCCACCAGAAUCAGAUCUUAAUAAUUUGAUGCAUGUAGAAAAUUAAGUCUCAAUGUAAGCCAAAAAUGUCUUGAACAUGGAAAAUACCUCAGAUUUGGAUCGAAGAAAAUACACCCAUGUAAACCGACUAUAAUCAUCUAUGAAUGUCACAAAGUAUUUGAAAUGAGCAUGAGAAAUAAUUGGUGAAAUGCCCCAAACAUCACUAUGAAUGACUGUUUACAUCCCUACUCUAUUCAAAUAGGGAGAAACGUCGCGGUGACUCAAAAAAUAAUCAGUUGAUUAAAUUUUAAAAUAAUUUAAAGAAUAAACGAAUUCUAAAGGAGUCGCCACCUAAUUUUAGGAAAAAACUAGGAAACCAUUAAGUGAUCUACGAAAUUAAGAGAUUCUAGGUAAGGGGUUCAAGAGAUUUCGAAGGAAAGGUAUUAAGCAUCCUUCGAAAUCCACAAAUGUGAUUCCCGAUUGAAUUCACUUUUUCAAAUUUUUAAGAGGAAAUAAAAACAAAUAUAAAAAUAUAAUAAACAAAUAAAAUAAUAAAAAAGAAGAAGCUAGAUUUGCUUAACGUCAAUAAUAUGCACAAUAAUAAAUCAAAAAUAUUGUUCAAACUUUGUUCUAAUAGUUUCAAUGGGAAGCAACUCCGAGUACCUGUAAAGACACUUAGUAAAAGUGUUAGUGGUAGAUAAAUACUUAUAAAAAUAAAUGAAUUAAAUAAUAAAUUCAAAAUAAAAAAUCCGUCUUAUUGAAAUGGAAGGCCUUGGAAAUCGACGGUAAUUUCUUCAUUGGCCAUUUUAACAUACAAAAUAUAUAAACUUAAACUAAAUUUCCGUCUUUUAAAAUGUGGAGGCCUCCAAAAUCGACGGAGAGAUUUUUUCAUUGGCCAUUAACUUGUUUCUAAACACAAUUAUAUGAACUUAACAAUAAUAAGAUAAAAUAAUAGGUAAAUAAUAAAAUGGCAACAAACAGUAAAACAAUAAUAAUAACUAAAUAUAACAACAUAAAUGACUUAAAUAACAAAAAUGGAACGAAAGCAGACAAAAUAAAUAAUAAUUAAAAAAAUCAACAGCAACUCAAAAAGCUAACAAUAACAAUAUGACAAGAUUGAUGAAAUAAUAACCAAAACAGUAACACGAUUUAAUAGAAAUUCUUAGAAAUGCAUAGAAUCAAUUUUAAUAAACUAUAAGCAGCCAAAUAUGAACAAUAUAAAGCAACAAUAAAUAAGGGAGUAAAAUAUAUAAUAAAAUAGAAUUAAUAAAUGGAUCUCAACUAAAAAUAAAAUAAAAUACCAACAAUAUUAAAUGAACUUCAAUCCAGAAAGCUUUCAGAAAACAUCAACAAGACAAAAAAAAAAUGAUAAAAAAAAAUGAACAGUAUGAGACAAUGACAAUAAAAAUUAAUAACUACUACUCCAAUCAACAAAUGAACCAAACAAAAUGAAAUAUUAACAAUUAAAGUUAUAAUCUUAAACAAAACAAAAAUAACGAAUAAAAUAGUAAAAUAAACAACCCACUCAAUAUUGAAUUUAUAACAAAGCUAACAAAAACAAAAAAAAUCCACGAAACACAUAACAUUUUAUACCUAUUUUAUAAUAAAUAACAGUAAAAUAGUAACAUUAAAAAACAACAUUAGUAAAUGACAAUAUCAGUAAACAAAGCAAAAGGUAAAAAGAACAGAAGUCAAACCUUGAUAUUUCAACGAAGAGAAAGGAACGGAGGACCAGUUUCGGAGUUUUGAUUUCGCCCGGUUGUUGUCCGGCAGUGUUGGCAUUGUUAUUGUUGAGUGUUCGCUGGAAAUGGGUUUGAAGUUGAGGGUCUGAUUCGUGGAGAUUUGGUGGUUGUUUUGAGCUAAUUUCAAGCGAGGUUCUGAGCCGAUUUCGCAGAGGAAAAGGGUGGUUUUAAGGUUUGUUGCAGGUGGUCGGAGAAUAGGGAAAUGGGAGGUUUUCCGGCUAGAGAAGAGAUAAUAGGGGACUGGUAAGGUUGAGCUCACCAGAAAAUGAGAAUAAACGAAAAGAGGUUUUGGUCUUGUGACUCCAGUGGCCGCUGCGAAGGGAGAAAGGUGAGGUUUAGGUUGCUUUGGGCUAAGCACUGGUGGUGUGAGUGGUGGUUUUGCAGCGUGAGCUGCUGGUCGGAAACGGAAAAGCAGGAAAUGGGGUAGGCGUUGAGCUGAUGUGUUUGUUUCUGGUGUUUUCUGGUUGUGUUGGCGCGGUGGAGUUCGCCGGAAAAAGGAGAAAUGAACGGGGUUUUGGGUUGGUUGCUCGAUGCGGAGCUGCUAGCAGGUUGGAUGGUUGUUUCGGAGGAAGGAGAUUGAGGGAAUGGGGGUUGAGUUGUGUGGAGAUCUGGUGGCUGCUAUGGUGUUUUCCGGUGGUGGGUGGCGGCGGCCGAAAUAUUAAUGACUAGUGAACCCUUUUGUGGAUAAAAAUUUGAA
rnacentral:lncRNA from 1 species